rnacentral:rRNA from 1 species
GGCGGACGGGUGAGUAACACGUAGGUAACCUGCCCCGGAGCGGGGGAUAACAUUUGCGAAACAGAUGCUAAUACCGCAUAACAACAAAAGCCACAUGGCUUUUGUUUGAAAGAUGGCUUUGGCUAUCACUCUGGGAUGGACCUGCGGUGCAUUAGCUAGUUGGUAAGGUAACGGCUUACCAAGGCGAUGAUGCAUAGCCGAGUUGAGAGACUGAUCGGCCACAAUGGAACUGAGACACGGUCCAUACUCCUACGGGAGGCAGCAGUAGGGAAUCUUCCACAAUGGGCGCAAGCCUGAUGGAGCAACACCGCGUGAGUGAAGAAGGGUUUCGGCUCGUAAAGCUCUGUUGUUGGAGAAGAACGUGCGUGGGAGUAACUGUUCACGCAGUGACGGUAUCCAACCAGAAAGUCACGGCUAACUACGUGCCAGCAGCCGCGGUAAUACGUAGGUGGCAUGCGUUAUCCGGAUUUAUUGGGCGUAAAGCGAGCGCAGGCGGUUGCUUAGGUCUGAUGUGAAAGCCUUCGGCUUAACCGAAGAAGUGCAUCGGAAACCGGGCAACUUGAGUGCAGAAGAGGACAGGGGAACUCCAUGUGUAGCGGUGGAAUGCGUAGAUAUAUGGAAGAACACCAGUGGCGAAAGCGGCUGUCUGGUCUGCAACUGACGCUGAGGCUCGAAAGCAUGGGUAGC